UACGGAGGGUGCAAGCGUUAUCCCGGAUUCACUGGGUUUAAAGGGUGCGUAGGAGGACAGGUAAGUCAGUGGUGAAAUCUCCGAGCUUAACUUGGAACUGCCGUUGAUACUAUCUGCCUUGAAUAUUUGUGGAGGUGAGCGGAAUAUGUCAUGUAGCGGUGAAAUGCUUAGAUAUGACAUAGAACACCAAUUGCGAAGGCAGCUCGCUACACAUAUAUUGACUCUGAGGCACGAAAGCGUGGGGAUCAAACAGG
rnacentral:rRNA from 1 species